rnacentral:rRNA from 1 species
UUUGGAGGGCAAGUCUGGUGCCAGCAGCCGCGGUAAUUCCAGCUCCAAUAGCGUAUAUUAAAGUUGUUGCAGUUAAAAAGCUCGUAGUUGAAUUUCGGGGUUAGUAGGUUGGUCAUGCCUCUGGUAUGUACUGGUCUCACUGAUUCCUCCUUCCUGAUGAAUCUUAAUGCCAUUAAUUUGGUGUUUUGGGGAAUUUGGACUGUUACUUUGAAAAAAUUAGAGUGUUUAAAGCAAGCUAACGCUUGAAUACAUUAGCAUGGAAUAAUGAAAUAGGACGUUCGAUCCUAUUUUGUUGGUUUCUAGGAUUGACGUAAUGAUUAAUAGGGAUAGUUGGGGGCAUUAGUAUUCAAUUGUCAGAGGUGAAAUUCUUGGAUUUAUUGAAGACUAACUACUGCGAAAGCAUUUGCCAAGGAUGUUUUCAUUAAUCAAGAACGAAAGUUAGGGGAUCGAAGACGAUCAGAUACCGUCGUAGUCUUAACCAUAAACUAUGCCGACUAGGGAUCGGAUGAUGUUAAUUUUUUAAUGACUCAUUCGGCGCCUUACGGGAAACA